rnacentral:rRNA from 1 species
CUACAAAGGAAUUGGACGGGGCCCGCACAAGCGGUGGAGCACGUGGUUUAAUUCGAUGCAAACCGAAGAACCUUACCUGGGUUUGACAUGUACGUGUUACUGAUCUGAGAGGAGAGGGACCCAUGCUCGGUAUGGGAGCGUACACAGGUGCUGCAUGGCUGUCGUCAGCUCGUGUCGUGAGAUGGUUGGGUUAACGUCCCGCAACGAGCGCCAACCCCUGCAUCCAGUUGCCAUCGGGCGAGCCGGGCACUCUGGAGGGACUGCCGGCGACAAGCCGGAGGAAGGUGGGGAUGACGUCAAGUCAUCAUGGCCCUUAUGUCCAGGGCGACACACGUGCUACAAUGGCCGGCACAGCGGGAAGCGGAGGGGCGACCCUGAGCGGAUCCCUUGAAAGCCGGUCCCAGUUCGGAUUGCAGUCUGCAACUCGACUGCAUGAAGUUGGAAUCGCUAGUAAUCGCGGAUCAGCCAAGCCGCGGUGAAUACGUUCCCGGGCCUU